rnacentral:rRNA from 1 species
UACGUAGGAGGCAAGCGUUGUCCGGAAUCACUGGGCGUAAAGCGCGUGUAGGUGGAGCAGGAAGUCUGCUGUGAAAGCGCCUGGCUUAACCGGGCGAGGUCGGUGGAAACUCCUGGUCUAGAGGCCGGUAGAGGAGUGUGGAAUUCCCGGUGUAGCGGUGAAAUGCGCAGAUAUCAGGAGGAACACCAAUGGCGAAGGCAGCUCGCUGGGACGGUACUGACGCUGAGACGCGAAAGCGUGGGGAGCAAACAGG